UGAGCGAUCGCUGCGGAACAUCGUGUGAUGAGGUUACUCGGUUCAUCGGUUGGCCGUUGAGCGUCGGAGCACUAUAAAUAACUGCUUAACGGACACAUGAUGCGGUUACUCUGAGAGGGAGGGGGAGAGAGAGAGAGGGAGAGAGCUCUCCAGCGUUUGCGAGGGCGGUGUCGUCCUCAGGUUCUUUCUUCGUUCUUUCGCUUGCUUCAGACUCUUGCUUGGACGAUUGGUUUGCGAUUUGGAUUCAUCCGUCUCAUCUGCCGCUUGAUCGCGAGAUGUAUCGACGAGGUUUAACAUGGUUCGAUUAUGCUCGUAUAUGAUUUUUUUUUUUGCUGGAAACGUAGUUCGGCUUCUUGUUUCUUGUCGACGAGAUUGAGACGCACACGAGAAGGAGCUGAUUGUUUGUGACUUAUUUGUUGAUGUACAACGGAUUUGCAGUCCUAAUGCAUGUAGAAUGAUGACUUGCAGCGAAACCAUACAUACAAUGGGUAAAUACUCGGAUCGCUUUCCUCUUUGCUCUCGAUGCAGAGGCCGGCCACUUCGCUCUAUAACAUCACGGCUCAUCUUCCGGUGGUCGAAUCGAUUGGGUUCUCACUGCUCUUAGCCAGGCGUUCACCCAGUGUGUCUUUGACCGCUGGGUCCUGAUGUCUUCCGAUCUAUAGGAUGAGGCUCGUGAUCGACAUCCGUCAGAGGAAGGGCUUGAAGAAGCAGAUUACCCCUCUCCCCAAAUACCAAAACCAGCUCUAAAUUUCCCAAAAUGCUUCUGGUGCAGGUCUUCAACCACAUACAUUUACUACACGAAGACCUUUUUGGCUGAAUCGGGAUAUCCAGUGAAACCAAUUUGAAGGUCACCGAUCCCUAAUUUAUUCAAUAGUUUGUGGGACAAUAUGGAGAAGAAACAUAACAGAAUAAAAAGGCUAACCGCAAUGCCACUCCGCAGAAGAGCAAAAAAAUUGGCAGGACAAACCGGCAGCAUCAUCCACAAGCCCGCUUCCGGUCCUGCUUUUAUACAUUCAUGACGACACCACCGAAGUGUUAACCUAAACAUUCUUUUUUUCGACAACAGAGAAAAGGGUAAGCAGAAACCGCAGGUUUCCUUACUUUAUUUUGUAUUGGAAUCCUCUUAGGACUGUUCAAGGUACCGAGAGUGAGAGGCUGCAAGAAGAGACGCGCCAAGGCCUGAUCCAUCGUUAGUGAGGUUGACGACAACAGACGAAGAGGCCUCAUCUCCGAGCAUUUCAUUCAGGGCGCCGUGCAAGCAUUGUCUGAAUACAGUGUAAUGCUCGUAAAGCCCACCGUCCAUGGCGAUCACUGUCCUUCGCAUGCCACUGCCAUCCCGUCCCAGCUUCUUCAGAAUCCCAACUAUGCCUGCGGCAGCCAGCCGAGCCCCACGCUUGGCAACGACAUCACAGAUCUGGACAACCACUUUUCUCGCUUUCAAGGAGGUGCUGGAAAUCUGGAGUUCAGGCAAAAACAAAGACAGUAAAAAAAAAAAACUGGCUGCGGAACAUGAGAUUUAGGGAAAAUGUAAAGGAUUGUACCCCCAAGAAUUCCUUCAGUUUGGCCCCGACAACUUUGAGAUCAGCUGAAGUAUCAUGAUGCAUAGCGGACAUGACUGGUGUCCUACAAACCAUAAAUUGCGUACUUGUUCAGAUAACAAACCGAAAGGGUGAGUCAACCGAUCCAUUAAAUAAGGACCCAAAAGUAAAAAACAAAGCAAAAGUCAGCAGGAGAUUGGUUAUCACAAAUUUGAUCAACAGGAGCGGUGCCGAUUGUCUAGUCAUAACACAAUUACGAAAAAGUUGAAAACUCGGUUGCAACUUAUGCUUGAA